GAUGAACGCUGGCGGCGUGCCUAAUACAUGCAAGUCGAGCGAACGGACGAGAAGCUUGCUCCUCUGAUGUUAGCGGCGGACGGGUGAGUAACACGUGGAUAACCUACCUAUAAGACUGGGAUAACUUCGGGAAACCGGAGCUAAUACCGGAUAAUAUUUUGAACCGCAUGGUUCAAAAGUGAAAGACGGUCUUGCUGUCACUUAUAGAUCGAUCCGCGCUCCAUUAGCUAGUUGGUAAGGUAACGACUUACCAAGGCAACGAUGCAUAGCCGACCUGAGAUGGUGAUCGGCCACACUGGAACAGAGACACGGUCCAGACUCCUACGGGAGGCAGCAGGAGGGAACCUUCACAAAUGGGCGAAAGCCUGACGGAGCAACGCCGCGUGAGUGGUGAAGGUCUUCGGAUCGUAAACCCCUGUUAUUAGGGAAUACCAUAUGUGUAAGGAACUGUGCACAUCUUGACGGUACCUACUCAGAAAGCCACGGCUAACUACGUG
rnacentral:rRNA from 1 species